UCCAUGACAACCAUUAGAUGGUCUCUACAUGCUAACUGCUUGUUUGUGAUGGACCAGUCCUACCGUCACAAACAAAAGGAAACAAAGGGACAAAUCUAGACAGAAAGAAGAAAUAAUCCCUGAUCUUCUAAACCCAGUAGAGAAGCUGUGGGCUGAACUGGGGAGAAGAGAGGAACCAGAACUCUGGACCAUCUAGACAGACUGUGAAGCUUCGACGUGACGGAUGUUCCCUCGUUGGUGUUUCAGUCCAGGUGGGCUCAGAGAGCGGAACAAACCCACCUUAAUCCGAUUAUUCCAAGUGUGCACGCCGCCUUCCCGAGCCAAGGAAGACGCCUGCGAGCAUCAAGACGCCACGCUGCGUUUACUCCAGUUGUGGUCCCAAUGGGGCGGCGGAUAAACACAGAGGUAAUCAGCGGCUCAUCAGUUCACAGCUCUCUGAGCUCUUUGUCUCCACGGCGAUCCUCAGCAUCCAUGGAUAAUUACUCCUUCUGCUUAAAUUGAUCCAUAACUCUGUCCAAGACGGUUUAAAGUGUUUCCAGAGAGGCUUUUAUCUCCUGAUUUAACACAAAGCUCUGACCUCCAUUUGAAACAACAUGCAAAUAAAAGUGUUUUAAUCUAUUUUCACAAAAUUUAAAUUUCUGUAACUGGUAGAAAUAUCCCAGGAAUGUAUUUCUAUACUGUUAAUAAUAUAUUGAUUUUGGCUCAUG